rnacentral:rRNA from 1 species
UGAGGAAUAUUGGUCAAUGGGCGCAAGCCUGAACCAGCCAUCCCGCGUGAAGGAAGAAGGCGCUAUGCGUUGUAAACUUCUUUUCCAGGGGGCGAACGUUCCGUACGUGUACGGGAGUGACGGUACCCUGGGAAUAAGCAUCGGCUAACUCCGUGCCAGCAGCCGCGGUAAUACGGAGGAUGCGAGCGUUAUCCGGAUUUAUUGGGUUUAAAGGGUGCGUAGGCGGAUUAAUAAGUCAGUGGUGAAAACCUGCAGCUUAACUGUGGAACUGCCGUUGAUACUGUUAGUCUUGAGUAUGGUCAAGGUAGGCGGAAUGUGUAAUGUAGCGGUGAAAUGCUUAGAUAUUACACAGAACACCGAUUGCGAAGGCAGCUUACUGGGCCGUUACUGACGCUGAUGCACGAAAGCGUGGGGAUCGAACA